CAACAAAGUAACUUGAUAUGCUGGUGAAUUAUGUCAAGCAGAUACGGAAAGGUGCUCAGGACUACCCAGAGCCUUCUCCAGGCUGAACAGCCUCAGCUCUCUCAGCCUUGUAGGAGAGGUGUUCCAUGACUUGGAUCAUUUCUGUCGCCCUGCUCUGGAUGUGCUCCAACAGGUUCAUGUCUCUCCUGUACUAAGAACUCCACAUCUGGAUUCAGCACUUCAUGCCACAGACUUCAUUCUUGACUUACUGAGUGCUGAUGUAAAGACUUGUCACAAAGUUAUCCAGAUCAGUGUGUGUCCGUGAUGGGGCAGCACUUGUGGGUCUUCCCC
ensembl:lncRNA